AUGUUCUCUACAUCUCUGCUGCUCCUGCUGGCAGCUGCAUCCUGUGUUCACUGUGAGGAACUUACUCAACCUGCUUCCAUGGUGGUCCGUCCAGGCCAGAGUCUGACCAUCGACUGCAAGGUUUCAUAUUCAGUUACAAGCUAUUAUUCAGCUUGGAUCCGACAGCCUGCAGGAAAAGCUCUGGAGUGGAUUGGACGUAUCAGUAGCAGUGGGGGCACAACUUACAGUGAUAAACUGAAAAGCAAGUUCAGCAUCUCCAGAGACACUGGAACCAACACAAUAACAUUACAAGGACAGAAUCUGCAGACUGAAGACACAGCUGUGUAUUACUGUGCAAGAGGUUCACAUGAUGCUUUUACAGUUAUUCCAUUACUACUCAACCUUGGACAUGUUAGUUAUGUCAGGGGUCAACCUCACAUCGAGUGA